rnacentral:rRNA from 1 species
UACGUAGGGUGCGAGCGUUAAUCGGAAUUACUGGGCGUAAAGCGUGCGCAGGCGGUGAUGUAAGACAGGGGUGAAAUCCCCGGGCUUAACCUGGGAACUGCAUUUGUGACUGCAUCGCUAGAGUGCUGGAGAGGGUCGCGGAAUUCCCGAAGUAGAGGUGAAAUUCGUAGAUAUCGGGAGGAACACCGGUGGCGAAGGCGGCGACCUGGACAGUAACUGACGCUGAGACGCGAAAGCGUGGGGAGCGAACAGG